rnacentral:rRNA from 1 species
GCAUAUCAAUAAGCGGAGGAAAAGAAACCAACAGGGAUUGCCUCAGUAACGGCGAGUGAAGCGGCAACAGCUCAAAUUUGAAAUCUGGCCCYAGGCCCGAGUUGUAAUUUGCAGAGGAUGCUUUUGGCGCGGUGCCUUCCGAGUUCCCUGGAACGGGACGCCAUAGAGGGUGAGAGCCCCGUACGGUUGGACACCAAGYCUUUGUAAAGCUCCUUCGACGAGUCGAGUAGUUUGGGAAUGCUGCUCWAAAUGGGAGGUAUAUUUCUUCUAAAGCUAAAUAUWGGCCAGAGACCGAUAGCGCACAAGUAGAGUGAUCGAAAGAUGAAAAGCACUUUGAAAAGAGGGUUAAACAGCACGUGAAAUUGUUAAAAGGGAAGCGCUUGUGACCAGACUUGCGUCCGGUGAAUCACCCAGCUCUCGCGGCUGGGGCAYUUUGCCGGCWCAGGCCAGCAUCAGCUYGCYGUCGGGGACAAAAGCUUCGGGAACGUAGCUCUCUUCGGGGAGUGUUAUAGCCCGUUGCAUAAUACCCUUCGGUGGGCUGAGGUACGCGCUCCGCAAGGAUGCUGGCGUAAUGGUCAUCAGCGACCCGUCUUGAAACACGGACCAAGGAGUCAACCUUAUGUGCGAGUGUUUGGGUGUUAAACCCCUACGCGUAAUGAAAGUGAACGCAGGUGAGAGCUUCGGCGCAUCAUCGACCGAUCCUGAUGUUCUCGGAUGGAUUUGAGUAAGAGCAUAUAGGGUUGGACCCGAAAGAAGGUGAACUAUGCGUGUAUAGGGUGAAGCCAGAGGAAACUCUGGUGGAGGCUCGCAGCGGUUCUGACGUGCAAAUCGAUCGUCAAAUAUGCGCAUGGGGGCGAAAGACUAAUCGAACCUUCUAGUAGCUGGUUU